UAACAGGUGAAUAACAGGUGAAUAACAGGUGAAUAACAGGUGAAUAAGAGGUGAAUAACAGGUGACCAACAGGUGAAUAACAGGUGAAUAACAGGUGACCAACAGGUGGAUAACAGGUUACUAACAGGUGAAUAAGAGGUUACUAACAGGUGAAUAAGAGGUGACUAACAGGUGACUAACAGGUGAAUAACAGCUGACCAACAGGUGAAUAACAGGUGAAUAACAGGUGACCAACAGGUUUCUAACAGGUGAAUAACAGGUGACAAACAGGUGGAUAACAGGUUACUAACAGGUGAAUAACAGGUGACCAACAGGUGAAUAACAGGUGACUAACAGGUGACAAACAGGUGACUAACAGGUGAAUAACAGGUGAAUAAGAGGUGACUAACAGGUGAAUAACAGGUGACUAACAGGUGAAUAACAGGUGAAUAACAGGUGACCAACAGGUGAAUAACAGGUGACUAACAGGUGACAAACAGGUGACUAACAGGUGAAUAACAGGUGAAUAAGAGGUGACUAACAGGUGAAUAACAGGUGACUAACAGGUGAAUAACAGGUGAAUAACAGGUGACAAACAGGUGAAUAACAGGUGAAUAACAGGUGACCAACAGGUGAAUAACAGGUUACUAACAGGUGAAUAACAGGUUACUAACAGGUGAAUAACAGGUUACUAACAGGUGAAUAACAGGUGACUAACAGGUGAAUAACAGGUUACUAAUAGGUGAAUAACAGGUGAAUAACAGGUGACCAACAGGUGAAUAACAGGUUACUAAUAGGUGAAUAACAGGUUACUAACAGGUGAAUAACAGGUGAAUAACAGGUGACCAACAGGUGAAUAACAGGUUACUAAUAGGUGAAUAACAGGUUACAAACAGGUGACAAACAGGUGACUAACAGGUGACAAACAGGUGAAUAACAGGUGACUAACAGGUGACAAACAGGUGACUAACAGGUGAAUAACAGGUGACAAACAGGUGAAUAACAGGUGAA